UACGUAGGGGGCAAGCGUUGUCCGGAAUCAUUGGGCGUAAAGGGCGCGUAGGCGGCUUGGCAAGUGGAAGGUGAAAUCCCUCGGCUUAACCGAGGAAUUGCCCUCCAAACUGCUUUGCUUGAGGCCGGAAGAGGAGAGUGGAAUUCCUGGUGUAGCGGUGAAAUGCGCAGAUAUCGAGGAAGAACACCAAUGGCGAAGGCAGCUCUCUGGGACGGUAC
rnacentral:rRNA from 1 species